AACGAACGCUGGCGGCAUGCCUAACACAUGCAAGUCGAACGAGACCUUCGGGUCUAUUGGCGCACGGGUGCGUAACGCGUGGGAACCUGCCCUUAGGUUCGGAAUAACUCCCCGACAGGGGUGCUAAUACCGGAUAAUGUCUUCGGACCAAUGAUUUAUCGCCUUUGGAUGGGCCCGCGUUGGAUUAGCUAGUUGGUAGGGUAAAAGCCUACCAAGGCGACGAUCCAUAGCUGGUCUGAGAGGAUGAUCAGCCACACUGGGACUGAGACACGGCCCAGACUCCUACGGGAGGCAGCAGUGGGGAAUAUUGAACAAUGGGCGAAGGCCUGAUCCAGCAAUGCCGCGUGAGUGAUGAAGGCCUUAGGGUUGUAAAGCUCUUUUACCCGGGAUGAUAAUGACAGUAACGGGAGAAUAAGCGCCGGCUAACUCCGUG
rnacentral:rRNA from 1 species